ensembl:lncRNA
AUUUUUUGCGGGCAACGGAAUUGGCCUAGUCUGCACCCUAAGCCUGACUCCAUAUUGCCGCCAGGUGUAGGCUGACUCCGGUACGGACAUCGAACUGGUCAGCACCAUAGACAGACGUCCUCCACCGGCAUGCGGAGGACCUCAGCACCCGAGGCACGGUCAGUCACUGCCGCCAGCUCGCUUCAGCGAGGGCAUGCUGGCACCCCUCCUCUCCUCUGCAGUGUGCCACAGUGCUGGAUGAAGACUAUUGUUCUGGUGCCCUCGUCUUCCUCUGGCACCACACCUCACCCACCACACCAGCCCACUUCGUCAAACAAAUGGCUUUCAGCCUACUUUCCUAUAACAGAAAACAGAGCAGAUUGGAGUCAGCAUUCACAGUCAGAGGCAGGCGCAAGCACCAGAUAAACGCCCCCUUUAAGUGUGUGUAUACUGUAUGUACAUGUGAGUGCACCUUAACUAUGCUUUGUGUUUCUCUGUUUAUCUUUCUGUCAUUUUUCACAAUGCACUGAAUAAGAUGGCCUAGAUGGAAUCUAGAAAUGGAUCUAAAAAUACUCCUUUAGUAUUCUUGGUAUUUAAAUGAAUAAUCAUUAUUAAUGAAAGACAAGCAUUACAUUGCUGUGCAAAUGUGCAGAUUACAUAUGGGCCUGUUUAUCUUUUUCUGUUUUUUCUUUUUCCAACUUAUGUAUAUUUUACAUCUGUCCUCUGUAUCAUCCCUCCUACCUCUCUCUCCAUUUCCUAGCCACAAGCACUGAGAAUAUUCCUUCCUUCUCUCUUUCUCUCUCUCUCUCUCUCUCUCUCUGUCUGUCUCUUUCUCCCUCUAUCUCCCCCCUUCCCAACCCUCUCUCUGUCAACUAAAGCCCUUUCAUAAUGAAUGGCAAGGUACGAUAAUAGCCUUUCGGUUGCUAUAGUAACCAGACAGGAUCUCUGUUAGUGCUGUAUUUUUUGUCCUUUAUUUUUUUUCCAAUGGGGCAAAUGACAGUGGAAUGUGAGGAGAAACCCUCCCUCUCACUUUCCCUCCUUCUCUUUUUCAUACACUCACAACAGAUUCCCUAUGUUCUUUCAUAUUUGUCUGUUCUUCCUUGCAUCCUUAAUAUGACAAACAGGUUUAUAUGAGAAACCAGUUCCAUAUUGUUAUUGUGUGUUUAUGUUAUAAUCAGAACUGGGUAGAUAAUUUACAAAUUUUAAUCUGUUACUGAUUUCAAAUUAAAUGACAAAAAUUGUAGUUAGCAACGUUAGCCAUUAUAUUACACAUUUUAGGUAAUAUAAUCAGACUACUUUUUGAUUACUUUUGACCUAUCUCGUUUUCCACAUUGAUUUAAAUAGGAUAAUCCUGCACCAUAUUGAUAUAAAAUUACAAAGAGUAAGAAAAUAUUUUCCAUUUGUUGUUAUCAAUAACAUGAAGUGCAUUAAACAUUAUAUUACGUCAUGGUUUCCCAAAAGUGGGGUUUGUGAAGGCAUUGCAGGGGGUUUAUGCAGCUAAUGAAUUAAAUCAUAAAAAUGUUGAAAAAAGGAAACAAAAUGAAACAGUUACUGAAAAAAUAUAAUAUUUUAUUUGUUUACCUUCAUGUCAUGUGACCAUAACCAACAUCAGAGAACCAUGAACGUACAAAUGUGUUACCUAAUUACUAAAAUAUUUAUUUUAAAAUUUUGGGUACUUCAUAUAAAAAUAUAGGUGAAAAAGGAUCAGAUGCAAAAAAGUUGGUAAAUUUGUGAAUUAGUACAUUUUAAUGUGUUUGAAAGACAAAAAAAAAAGUAAUACAUGGUAAACUAACCAUUUGAUACUUGAUACGAGUGAUACUUGAAUUAAAAAUUAAUGUGUUGAUCAAUAGUUGAAGCACUUCUUAAACCUGAAAUGAUUUUUGUAAAUCCAGUGGUCAAAUGCUGUUAUUAAACAUAAAUAUGUUUAAUUGUUUAAAUUAAUAAAAACAAAAUAAUUUGCA